GAUGAACGCUGGCGGCGUGCCUAAUACAUGCAAGUCGAGCGAACGGACGAGAAGCUUGCUCCUCUGACGUUAGCGGCGGACGGGUGAGUAACACGUGGAUAACCUACCUAUAAGACUGGGAUAACUUCGGGAAACCGGAGCUAAUACCGGAUAAUAUUUUGAACCGCAUGGUUCAAUAGUGAAAGACGGUUUUGCUGUCACUUAUAGAUGGAUCCGCGCCGCAUUAGCUAGUUGGUAAGGUAACGGCUUACCAAGGCAACGAUGCUUAGCCGACCUGAGAGGGUGAUCGGCCACACUGGAACUGAGACACGGUCCAGACUCCUACGGGAGGCAGCAGUAGGGAAUCUUCCGCAAUGGGCGAAAGCCUGACGGAGCAACGCCGCGUGAGUGAUGAAGGUCUUCGGAUCGUAAAACUCUGUUAUUAGGGAAGAACAAAUGUGUAAGUAACUAUGCACGUCUUGACGGUACCUAAUCAGAAAGCCACGGCUAACUACGUG
rnacentral:rRNA from 1 species